AACGAACGCUGGCGGCAGGCCUAACACAUGCAAGUCGAACGCCGUAGCAAUACGGAGUGGCAGACGGGUGAGUAACGCGUGGGAACAUACCCCUCGGUUCGGAAUAACUCAGGGAAACUUGAGCUAAUACCGGAUACGUCCGAGGUUUUGAUCGACCUUGGAGAAAGAUUUAUCGCCGAAGGAUUGGCCCGCGUCUGAUUAGCUUGUUGGUGAGGUAAUGGCUCACCAAGGCGACGAUCAGUAGCUGGUCUGAGAGGAUGAUCAGCCACAUUGGGACUGAGACACGGCCCAAACUCCUACGGGAGGCAGCAGUGGGGAAUAUUGGACAAUGGGGGCAACCCUGAUCCAGCCAUGCCGCGUGAGGGAAGAAGGCC
rnacentral:rRNA from 1 species